rnacentral:rRNA from 1 species
AGCGAACGCUGGCGGCAUGCUUAACACAUGCAAGUCGCACGGGCAGCAAUGUCAGUGGCGGACGGGUGAGUAACGCGUAGGAACGUGUCCUGAGGUGGGGGACAACCCCGGGAAACUGGGGCUAAUACCGCAUAUGGGCUGAGGCCCAAAGCCGAGAGGCGCCUUUGGAGCGGCCUGCGUCCGAUUAGGUAGUUGGUGGGGUAAAGGCCUACCAAGCCUGCGAUCGGUAGCUGGUCUGAGAGGACGACCAGCCACACUGGGACUGAGACACGGCCCAGACCCCUACGGGAAGCAGCAGUGGGGAAUAUUGGACAAUGGGCGAAAGCCUGAUCCAGCAAUGCCGCGUGGGUGAAGAAGGUCUUCGGAUCGUAAAGCCCUUUCGACGGGGACGAUGAUGACGGUACCCGUAGAAGAAGCCCCGGCUAACUUCGUG